GGAUGAACGCUGGCGGCGUGCCUAACACAUGCAAGUCGAGCGAGAAACCAUCGAUUGAAACUUCGGUAGAUAUUGAAGGCGGAAAGCGGCGGACGGGUGAGUAACGCGUAGGCAACCUGCCCUUUGCAGAGGGAUAGCAACGGGAAACUGUUAUUAAAACCUCAUAAUACCGUAAUGUCAAAUGAUGAAACGGUCAAAGAUUUAUCGGCAAAGGAUGGGCCUGCGUCUGAUUAGUUAGUUGGUAGGGUAACGGCCUACCAAGGCAGCGAUCAGUAGCCGACCUGAGAGGGUGAUCGGCCACAUUGGAACUGAGACACGGUCCAAACUCCUACGGGAGGCAGCAGUGGGGAAUAUUGCACAAUGGGCGAAAGCCUGAUGCAGCAACGCCGCGUGAAGGAUGAAGGCCUUUGGGUCGUAAACUUCUGUCCUUGGGGAAGAAAAAAAUGACGGUACCCCUGGAGGAAGUCCCGGCUAACUACGUGCCAGCAGCCGCGGUAAUACGUAGGGGGCGAGCGUUAUCCGGAAUUAUUGGGCGUAAAGAGUACGUAGGUGGUUUUUUAAGCGCAGGGUUUAAGGCGAUGGCUCAACUGUCGUUCGCCCUGUGAACUGGAAGACUUGAGUACAGGAGAGGAAAGCGGAAUUCCUNNNNUAGCGGUGAAAUGCAUAGAUAUNAGGAGGAACACCAGUGGCGAAGGCGGCUUNNNNNACUGUAACUGACACUGAGGUACGAAAGCGUGGGGAGCAAACAGGAUUAGAUACCCUGGUAGUCCACGCUGUAAACGAUGAGCACUAGGUGUCGGGGUCGCAAGAUCUCGGUGCCGGAGUUAACGCAUUAAGUGCUCCGCCUGGGGAGUACGCACGCAAGUGUGAAACUCAAAGGAAUUGACGGGGACCCGCACAAGCAGCGGAGCAUGUGGUUUAAUUCGAAGCAACGCGAAGAACCUUACCAGAACUUGACAUCCUCCUGACAGGCCUUUAAUCGGGCCCUUCUUCGGACAGGAGAGACAGGUGGUGCAUGGUUGUCGUCAGCUCGUGUCGUGAGAUGUUGGGUUAAGUCCCGCAACGAGCGCAACCCUUGUCAUUAGUUGCUAACAUUAAGUUGAGGACUCUAAUGAGACUGCCGGGGACAACUCGGAGGAAGGUGGGGAUGACGUCAAAUCAUCAUGCCCCUUAUGUUCUGGGCUACACACGUGCUACAAUGGCCGGUACAACGAGAAGCGAAGUCGCAAGGCGGAGCAAACCUCAAAAACCGGUCCCAGUUCGGAUUGCAGGCUGAAACCCGCCUGCAUGAAGCCGGAGUUGCUAGUAAUCGCGAAUCAGAAUGUCGCGGUGAAUGCGUUCCCGGGUCU
rnacentral:rRNA from 1 species